UGGGCUUCAAGAAGGGUACAAUUUGGCAAUAUCUGGAGAUAUUUUUGCUUGUCAUAACUGGGGGGGGGGGGGGGGGGGGAGACAGUGCUAUUGGCAUGUAGUACAUAGAGACCAGAGGUGCUGCUAAACAUUCUGUCUUCACAGGACAGCCUCCCCAACAAAGGAUUAUCCUGUGCAAUAUGUCAGUAGUGCUGAGGCUGAGAAACCCUAGGCUAGACACUGAGUUGUAAACUGUUACCAAAAGAGAAGGUGACUUAUAGACAAUUCAAGGACAGUCAAAUCAAUCCACUUACAUUUCCACAACUCCAUGCUGUUACUCGCCUCUAUCACUUCUUUACUCGUAUCACAUCUGACUUCUAACUCCCUAGCAGCCCCUUAUUCCCCACAUUGCUCUGGUCCCUGGACAGAUAAGAAAAUCACAGGGGGCAGGGCUGCAGUUUGCCCCUUCAAUAAACUCAAGGACUCAUUAACUGGAUUUGCUCCUAACUAGCAUCAAUCAAGCAAUGGGAAAUGGCCUAUAGCUGGUUCUCAGGGGGCACCUCAUAGGCAGUGUCCCACAACUGACACAAUGUCUGAGUGCAAGUCAGAUAUGCAGAGGAGGCAAGAUGUGGGUGGUAUCAUCCUGCAUUAUUGUGAAGGAGUCCAGGCAGACUCUGAGAUGGGGCGUAAGAGGGAGAGAAAGAGAGGAAGUGGCCAGAUGCUAAGGCAGGGACAGGAGAGGGAGGCAGCUGUUGGCAUAAGGAUGAUGGCAGAGAAACAUCCUUGAGACAACAUGCCCACCCACUCAAACUGUCCCUAGAAAUCCCAAAUUCCUUUGAAAAGAGCAAGUGUAGGAGGUGAAAAAGGAAGAGAACGCAUGUGAGGAGAGCUCGAGAAUUGGGAAAUCAUUCUAGGUUGUGACGUUGCAGCAACGCACCUCUCAGGGCUUGGAGCACUGUAGCCUGGUCUUCUUACCACCGGAGAGCAGAAUCCUGGGCUAAGGCCUUGCCUGUAUGCCCCGAAUCCACCAUGGGCUCCAGGCUCCUGUGCUGUGUGGCCCUCUGCUUCCUGGGAGCAGGUUCCCUGGACACAGCAGUUUUCCAGACUCCAAAAUACCUCAUUGCACGGGUAGGGGAUAAGAAGUCCCUAAAUUGUGAACAAAAGCUGAACCAUGAUGCUAUGUACUGGUAUAAGCAGGACUCCAAGAAAUUGCUGAAGAUUAUGUUUUCCUACAAUAAUAAGGCGCUCAUUCUAAAUGAGACAAUUCCAAGUCGUUUCUUACCUAAAUCUUCCGACAAAGCUCAUUUGAAACUUCAGAUCAGCUCCUUGGAGCCAGGUGACUCUGCCGUGUAUCUCUGUGCUAGCAGCCAAGACACAGCCCUGCAAAGUCACUGCCUCCCUGUGCACAAACCUGCUGGCACGGCCAGGAAGUUGUGGGAACAACAUGUUCACCCAACACAUCCUGCUGGGAGACCCCUGCCUGGAGUUUCAUCUGUAGUAUAGCUCACAGUGCCUAAUAGGGUAGUUCUCAGUUUGUAUGCUCAAAAGUCUUCCCAAUUCUGCUCAUCAGCUUGAGCAGGGAAUUGCUAAUAAAUUUACUGAAGUACUCAGGACUCUUCAAACAAAUAAUGGCCCUGUCACAGACACUGAAGAUCUUAACAGAUGGAAGAAGCUAUUCCUUUCUUUGCUCUUAUACAUCUUAUACAUGAUAUGCAUAUUAUACAUAAGAA